rnacentral:rRNA from 1 species
UACGUAGGGUGCGAGCGUUGUCCGGAAUUAUUGGGCGUAAAGGGCUCGUAGGCGGUGUGUCGCGUCGGCCGUGAAAACCUGCAGCUUAACUGCGGGCGUGCGGGCGAUACGGGCAGACUGGAGUACUGCAGGGGAGACUGGGAAUUCCUGGUGUAGCGGUGGAAUGCGCAGAUAUCAGGGAGGAACACCGGUGGCGAAGGCGGGGUCUCUGGGCAGUAAACUGACGCU